AGAGUUUGAUCCUGGCUCAGAACGAACGCUGGCGGCGCGUCUUAAGCAUGCAAGUCGAGCGGGAUUGGGGAGCUUGCUCCCCAUGAGAGCGGCGGACUGGCGAGGAGCGCGUGGGCGACGCGCCCCCCGGACGGGAACAGCCCGUGGAAACACGGGGUAAUGCCGGAUGGCAUGCAGGGCUUGGAGGCCCUGCAUCAAAGGGGCUUCGGCCCCGCCGGGGGAGCGGCCCGCGUCCCAUCAGCUUGUUGGCGGAGCAAAAGCCCACCAAGGCGACGACAUUGGGACUGAGAUACGGCCCAGACUCCUACGGGAGGCAGCAGCUAAGAAUAUUCCGCAAUGGGCGAAAGCCUGACGGAGCGACGCCGCGUGGACGAUGGAGGCCGGAAGGUUGUAAAGUCCUUUUGGGAGGGAAGAAGAAGUCCGGGAGGAAACGCCCGGGCGGCGACGGUACCUCGCGAAUAAGGGGCGGCUAAUUACGUGCCAGCAGCCGCGGUAACACGUAAGCCCCGAGCGUUGUUCGGAAUUAUUGGGCGUAAAGGGCGCGCAGGCGGCCGAGCAAGUCUGGGGUGAAAUCCCGGGGCCCAACCCCGGAACUGCCUUGGAAACUGCACGGCUGGAGUCGCCGAAGGGAAGCCGGAAUUCCUGGUGUAGGGGUGAAAUCUGUAGAUAUCAGGAAGAACACCGAUGGCGAAGGCAGGCUUCCGGCGGACGACUGACGCUGAGGCGCGAAGGCGCGGGGAGCAAACAGGAUUAGAUACCCUGGUAGUCCGCGCAGUCAACGAUGCACACCGGGCGUCCGGACACGAGUCUGGGCAAGGGUGAAACUCAAAGGAAUUGACGGGGGCCCGCACAAGCGGUGGAGCAUGUGGUUUAAUUCGAUGGUACGCGAGGAACCUUACCUGGGUUUGACAUGCACAGGAAUUAUAUGGAGACAUGUAAGCGCAGCAAUGCGCCUGUGAACAGGUGCUGCAUGGCUGUCGUCAGCUCGUGCCGUGAGGUGUUGGGUUAAGUCCCGCAACGAGCGCAACCCCUACCGUCUGUUGCCACCGGGUCGAGCCGGGCACUCAGGCGGAACUGCCGGCGACAAGCCGGAGGAAGGCGGGGACGACGUCAAGUCAUCAUGGCCCUUAUGUCCAGGGCUACACACGUGCUACAAUGGGCGCCACAGAGCGAAGCGAGGCCGCGAGGCGGAGCGAAGCGCGAAAAAGCGCCCUCAGUCCGGAUCGGAGUCUGAAACCCGACUCCGUGAAGUUGGAAUCGCUAGUAAUCGCGCAUCAGCACGGCGCGGUGAAUACGUUCCCGGGCCUUGUACACACCGCCCGUCACACCAUCCGAGUGGAGCGCGCCCGAAGCCGCGAGCCCGACCGCAAGGGGGGCCGUGUCGAAGGCUCGCUUCGUGAGGGGGGUGAAGUCGUAACAAGGUAGUCGUACCGGAAGGUGCGGCUG
rnacentral:rRNA from 1 species